rnacentral:misc_RNA from 1 species
UCAAACUUGGUCAUUUAGAGGAAGUAAAAGUCGUAACAAGGUUUCCGUAGGUGAACCUGCGGAAGGAUCAUCAAUGUAGUUUUUCCACAUAAGUGUGGCUGUUUUUGAUUACUGGUCGAGUUUGAUUGGUUAAUUGGGAGCACUCGCUUAUGAUUGGCCUAUCUAUCUUUAUUAAACGUUUUAUGUUUGAUAAAAAAACAGCUGUGUGUUAAUAAUUCAGUUUUUUAAUUAAAUUUGAAAAAACCAAAUACAACUAUCAACGACGGAUCUCUUGGCUCUUGCAUCGAUGAAGAACGCAGC